rnacentral:lncRNA from 1 species
ACAAUUCAAUUGCAUAAAUCACUUUUUUUUAUUUUUUUUAACUUGUAUAACUUUUUUUUGUUGUACUAUAUCGACAAACUAAAUAUAACAAAACACUUUUGUACACGAUUUUUUUUUCUUCGACUGCAUAGAUUUUUGUUUUUAUAGCAACAAUAACAAACUAAUCGAAAUGAGAAAACUUCGGUAUACAAAUUUUUUUUCUAUACUCUUUUUUUUUC